AUCGAACGCUGGCGGCAGGCCUAACACAUGCAAGUCGAACGAGUGGCGGACGGGUGAGUAAUGUCUGGGAAACUGCCUGAUGGAGGGGGAUAACUACUGGAAACGGUAGCUAAUCCCGCAUACCAUCGCUUGUGCCCAGAUGGGAUUUGCUAGGAGUUGGGGUAAAGGCUAACAUGGGCGACGAUCCCUAGCGGGUCUGAGAGGAAGACGGGCCACACUGGAACUGAGACACGGUCCAGAUUCCUACGGGAGGAAGCAUUGGGGAUUAUUGCACAAUGGGCGCAGGCCUGAUGAGGCAAGGCGGGGUAGAGGAAGAGGGCCUUCGGGUUGUAAAGUACUUUCAGCGGGGAGGCGUUAACCGAAGAAAAAGCAACGGCUAACUCCGUGCCAGCAGCCGCGGUAAUUC
rnacentral:rRNA from 1 species